UACGAAGGGUGCAAGCGUUACUCGGAAUUACUGGGCGUAAAGGGUGCGUAGGUGGUUUUUUAAGUCCGUUGUGAAAUCCCUGGGCUCAACCUGGGAAAUGGCAGUGGAUACUGGAAAGCUAGAGUGCGGUAGAGGGUAGUGGAAUUCCCGGUGUAGCAGUGAAAUGCGUAGAGAUCGGGAGGAACACCAGUAGCGAAGGCGACACUCUGGGCCGGUACUGACGCUGAGGAGCGAAAGCGUGGGGAGCAAACAGG
rnacentral:rRNA from 1 species